AGAAACAGUGAAAGAAUCCUGCAGGGAAUGCCCGCGGAAAAGGGGUCCCGCUUGUACAGGCACCGCAUGCCACUCGCGCAUGCACACGUGUGGCCAAUAUUAGACGUACGCACUCUAUGCAUGUCCCAUCCACGCGAGGUACAAGGCCCAGUUUACUCGUGCAUCCCAUCAAGCGCAGAUGGGCACAAUCUAUGCACGCAUCCCAUCGGGUGUAAAUGCGUAUAAUCUACACACACAUCCCAUCAGGCACAGAUGGGUGCAAUCUGCAUGCUUCCCAUCAUGCACAGACAGGAGUGACUCUGUGCGCCAUGUGCACGCACCAUCCGUGUAGUAGGCCUGCGCGCAUGGGCCUAC
rnacentral:lncRNA from 1 species